rnacentral:rRNA from 1 species
AUUGAACGCUGGCGGCAGGCCUAACACAUGCAAGUCGAACGAGUGGCGGACGGGUGAGUAAUGUCUGGGAAACUGACUGAUGGAGGGGGAAAACUACUGGAAACGGUAGAUAAUACCGCAUACCAUCGGAUGUGCCCAGAUGGGAUUAGCUAGUCUGUGGGGUAAAGGCUAACCUAGGCGUCGACCCCUAGCUGGUCUGAGAGGAUGACCGGCCACACUGGAACGGGGACACGGUCCAGAUUCCUACGGGAGGCAGCAGGGGGGAAUAUUGCACAAUGGGCGCAAGCCUGAUGCAGCCAUGCCGCGUGUAGGAAGAAGGCCUUCGGGUUGUAAAGUACUGUCAGCGGGGAGGCGUUACCCGCAGAAGAAGCACCGGCUAACUCCGUGCCAGCCGCCGCGGUAAUUC